CUGUCGGCAGGAACGAUGAGCAAGUUGGCUAAUAUCCAACGUGCCUGACGGUACCUGCAAAGGAAGCACCGGCUAACUCUGUGC
rnacentral:rRNA from 1 species